GGAGUCCUACGGGGCGCAGCAGUGAGGAAUAUUGGUCAAUGGGCGGAAGCCUGAACCAGCCAAGUCGCGUGAGGGAAUAAGGCCCUACGGGUCGUAAACCUCUUUUGCCGGGGAGCAAGGGCCGGGACGCGUCCCGGCCCGGAGAGUACCCGGAGAAAAAGCAUCGGCUAACUCCGUGCCAGCAGCCGCGGUAAUACGGAGGAUGCGAGCGUUCUCCGGAUUUAUUGGGCUUGAAGGGUGCGUAGGCGGGCUUUUUAGUCAGCGG
rnacentral:rRNA from 1 species